GGCUGGCUAGCUCAGUGGGUUAGAGCGUGGUGCUAAUAAUAACAAGGUCAUGGGUUCAAGCCCCAUGUUGACCA
rnacentral:tRNA from 1 species